CGUAGGGUGCAAGCGUUAAUCGGAAUUACUGGGCGUAAAGCGUACGCAGGCGGCUUUGCAAGACAGGUGUGAAAUCCCCGGGCCUAACCUGGGAACUGCAUUUGUGACUGCAUGGCUAGAGUUUGUCAGAGGGGGGUGGAAUUCCACGUGUAGCAGUGAAAUGCGUAGAUAUGUGGAGGAACACCGAUGGCGAAGGCAGCCCCCUGGGAUGUGACUGACGCUCAUGUACGAAAGCGUGGGGAGCAAACAGGAUUAGAUACCCUGGUAGUCCACGCCCUAAACGAUGUCGACUAGUUGUCGGAGGGUAACUCCUUCGGUAACGCAGCUAACGCGUGAAGUCGACCGCCUGGGGAAUACGGUCGCAAGAUUA
rnacentral:rRNA from 1 species